ensembl:lncRNA
GAAAAGAAUUGAUUGGGUGCCACAUUUUAAGUUCCCUUUAACUGAACCCAAAGGGACGCACUGACUGUCUUUCUGCUCCAGAGCACUGUCAGGGUUCCUUCCGUCCAUGUAAGUUCAAAGGCUUCCCACACACCGGCUCCUCACCUACAUGCAUGGAAAUACUAGUGCAGAGUUGUGCUCCAAAUAAACCAAUGAAAUGGUUGGUUGUUCUAAUACAAGCUUUCACUUUAUUAAACAAGCGAAUGCUUCUUUAAGGACUGUGUGUACACACAAAAAGGGCAAUUUAGAGCCGGCUGUAGCUGCUGACAUCAGGUAAAUCGUUCCUCUUUACGUCCUCAUUACUUCGUCUCUUAUCCCGUCAGUUUGUAAGGUGCCCGAAUGAUGUCGGUGCGCAUUCUAGCACACGUUUGUAUCUCGAAAUUGAAUUGUGAGUGAGUGAGCCACUUGCGUCUGGUAGAUUGAAUGCAUUGAUUGAGUGGAAGUGAGAGGCUGCUUCACAUUAUGCAAGCGCGGAAAAAAAGAAAAAACUUUAAAAAAAGAAAAAACUUUAACAAAAGAAAAAACUUUUUAAAAAGUUGCGUCGGCCGUCCCAUUUGUCCCCCACACACACAUGGCUCUGGUCCAAUGGAACAACUCGACUGCAACAAGGUUCAUAUGGUUUCGAUGGGCGAAGCUGUUGGGCGAAUCUCAAGGCCGUUCUUCAGCUUUGGAUGAUUUUGCUUUCAACAUUCCUGUCCCUUUUCAUGUCAACAUCUACUUCUGCAUGUAAAACUGCCUCCCCGGGGACAUGAACUGUGAAAUGUGAAACAUUCAGCCCCCCUCCCCCCCCUCUCCCAGGCCCUGUUUGAUUUAUUUAUGUGUUUUUUCUUUAUUUACACCCUUUCUGUCACCUAAUCCCCUGUCUUUGUGCUACUCUCUUGUCUUUAAACGUCAUCAAUGCUUUUGUGAUUUCAUUGUACAGCUUUUAAUAUGAUUUCAAACACAAUGUUCCCAUCUAACCCUCCGUCUCUCCCUCCAACGUUUUGCUCUCUUCUGUCUCUUCAUUUCUUAAAAAAUGCGGGUAUUUCCAUUUUGCACGCUUGUCUUUUGUAUCGCAUCAUCUCUCCCUCAAUCCUCCCCUCAAAAUGUUCCACUCGACCAUCCAUUCAUCCUUCCCCACCCUGCCUCCACAGAGAGGAAGAAUGUGAUGAUGGGAUAGAGGAGGAGGAGGAGGAGAAGGAGGAAGAGGAGACUCCUGAGACUGAGUCUGAUUCGGAUGAGCAGGAGGGGGCUGAUACAGUGUCUAAACUGACCACCCUCAGGCACCUUCCAACCAUAGUUCACCGGACGACCGUCCAGUCCAUCACCAUCACUUCCAGAAAGGAGGAUAUAAAAGAGGAGGAGCAAAGGAAUCGGACUGAACCACCUCCAGCACCCGCCGUCUCUCCGUCUACUCCCACCUUCUCUUCUCCUCUCAGCCCCCCAGCACAACCCUCCUUCCUGG